GUUGAGGGGAAUGUUGUCUGGUUCGAUGUCAUUCAUGUAAAACUGAUCAAAUAUUAAUCAACCGUUGGAUGAAUGAUUUCGGACCAGGCUUCAUUCCCCCCAAC
rnacentral:pre_miRNA from 1 species